CCCCUGUCUCGUCUUUCCUCCAAGCUAUACAUGUUAAGAUCCUUUAACCUUUCCUGGUAAGUUUUAUCCCGCAAUCCAUGAACCAGUUUAGUAGCCCUUCUCUGAAUCCUCUCUAAGGUAUCAAUAUCCUUCUGAAGAUAUGGUCUCCAGUACUGUGUACAAUACUCCAAGUGAGGUCUCACCAGUGUUCUGUAUAAUGGCAUGAGCACUUCCCUCUUUCUACUGCUAAUACCUCUCC